UGCCUGGAGUGAAGAUUCUGCCCAUUGGUCAAGAGACCUCCCUCUCAGAUGCUGGCUCUGCCCCUGCCUUUGGGGGUCGACCCUUGUACUCGCAGGACCUUAGGUGACUCUGACUUUGUCAAAGGAAAAAUUUCUGCAUGUGCACACACAGAUCUUGGAAGUUUAUUCAUCUCAGCAGAGGCAGACAGGAGCAUCAACAGCCUUGGGGACAGCAGCAGUGGUGGUGGAGUCUGACUCUGUCGCCCAGGCUGAAGUGCAGUGGCACAAUCUCGGCUCACUGCAACCUCCGCCUCCCGGGUCCAAGCCAUUCUUGUGCCUUAGCCUCCUGAGUAGCUGGGAUUGAAGGUGUGCACCACUACACCCUGCUAAUUUUGGAAUUUUUAUUAGGUUGGUGCAAAAGUAAUUGUGAUUUUGCCAUUACUUUGGCA
rnacentral:lncRNA from 10 species